CAAUGGGCGAAAGCCUGAUGGAGCAACGCCGCGUGAGUGAAGAAGGUUUUCGGAUCGUAAAGCUCUGUUGUUGGUGAAGAAGGAUAGAGGUAGUAACUGGCCCCUAUUUGACGGUAAUCAACCAGAAAGUCACGGCUAACUACGUGCCAGCAGCCGCGGUAAUACGUAGGUGGCAAGCGUUGUCCGGAUUUAUUGGGCGUAAAGCGAGCGCAGGCGGAAAGAUAAGUCUGAUGUGAAAGCCCCCGGCUUAACCGAGGAAUUGCAUCGGAAACUGUGUUUCUUGAGUGCAGAAGAGGAGAGUGGAACUCCAUGUGUAGCGGUGGAAUGCGUAGAUAUAUGGAAGAACACCAGUGGCGAAGGCGGCUCUCUGGUCUGUAACUGACGCUGAGGCUCGAAAGCAUGGGUAGCGAACAGGAUUAGAUACCCUGGUAGUCCAUGCCGUAAACGAUGAGUGCUAAGUGUUGGGAGGUUUCCGCCUCUCAGUGCUGCAGCUAACGCAUUAAGCACUCCGCCUGGGGAGUACGACCGCAAGGUUGAAACUCAAAGGAAUUGACGGGGGCCCGCACAAGCGGUGGAGCACGUGGUUUAAUUCGAAGCAACGCGAAGAACCUUACCAGGUCUUGACAUCUAGUGCCAUCCUAAGAGAUUAGGAGUUCCCUUCGGGGACACUAAGACAGGUGGUGCAUGGCUGUCGUCAGCUCGUGUCGUGAGAUGUUGGGUUAAGUCCCGCAACGAGCGCAACCCUUGUUAUUAGUUGCCAGCAUUAAGUUGGGCACUCUAAUGAGACUGCCGGUGACAAACCGGAGGAAGGUGGGGAUGACGUCAAGUCAUCAUGCCCCUUAUGACCUGGGCUACACACGUGCUACAAUGGGCAGUACAACGAGAAGCGAGCCUGCGAAGGCAAGCGGAUCUCUUAAAGCUGUUCUCAGUUCGGACUGCAGUCUGCAACUCGACUGCACGAAGCUGGAAUCGCUAGUAAUCGCGGAUCAGCACGCCGCGGUGAAUACGUUCCCGGGCCU
rnacentral:rRNA from 1 species